GACGAACGCUGGCGGCGUGUCUAAUACAUGCAAGUAGAACGCUGAAGGAGGAGCUUGCUUCUCUGGAUGAGUUGCGAACGGGUGAGUAACGCGUAGGUAACCUGCCUGGUAGCGGGGGAUAACUAUUGGAAACGAUAGCUAAUACCGCAUAAGAGUAGAUGUCGCAUGACAUUUGCUUAAAAGGUGCAAUUGCAUCACUACCAGAUGGACCUGCGUUGUAUUAGCUAGUUGGUGAGGUAACGGCUCACCAAGGCAACGAUACAUAGCCGACCUGAGAGGGUGAUCGGCCACACUGGGACUGAGACACGGCCCAGACUCCUACGGGAGGCAGCAGUAGGGAAUCUUCGGCAAUGGACGGAAGUCUGACCGAGCAACGCCGCGUGAGGGAAGAAGGUUUUCGGAUCGUAAAGCUCUGUUGUAAGAGAAGAACGAGUGUGAGAGUGGAAAGUUCACACUGUGACGGUAGCUUACCAGAAAGGGACGGCUAACUACGUG
rnacentral:rRNA from 1 species